UUAAGCGACUAAGCGUACACGGUGGAUGCCCUGGCAGUCAGAGGCGAUGAAGGACGUGCUAAUCUGCGAAAAGCGUCGGUAAGGUGAUAUGAACCGUUAUAACCGGCGAUGUCCGAAUGGGGAAACCCAGUGCAAUUCGUUGCACUAUCAUUAACUGAAUACAUAGGUUAACGAGGCGAACCGGGGGAACUGAAACAUCUAAGUACCCCGAGGAAAAGAAAUCAACCGAGAUUCCCCCAGUAGCGGCGAGCGAACGGGGAGCAGCCCAGAGUCUGAAUCAGCUUGUGUGUUAGUGGAACGGUCUGGAAAGUCCGACGGUACAGGGUGAUAGUCCCGUACACCAAAAUGCACAGGCUGUGAACUCGAAGAGUAGGGCGGGACACGUGGUAUCCUGUCUGAAUAUGGGGGGACCAUCCUCCAAGGCUAAAUACUCCUGACUGACCGAUAGUGAACCAGUACCGUGAGGGAAAGGCGAAAAGAACCCCGGCGAGGGGAGUGAAAAAGAACCUGAAACCGUGUACGUACAAGCAGUGGGAGCACCUUCGGGUGUGACUGCGUACCUUUUGUAUAAUGGGUCAGCGACUUAUAUUCUGUAGCAAGGUUAACCGUAUAGGGGAGCCGCAGGGAAACCGAGUCUUAACUGGGCGUUAAGUUGCAGGGUAUAGACCCGAAACCCGGUGAUCUAGCCAUGGGCAGGUUGAAGGUUGGGUAACACUAACUGGAGGACCGAACCGACUAAUGUUGAAAAAUUAGCGGAUGACUUGUGGCUGGGGGUGAAAGGCCAAUCAAACCGGGAGAUAGCUGGUUCUCCCCGAAAGCUAUUUAGGUAGCGCCUCGUGAACUCAUCUUCGGGGGUAGAGCACUGUUUCGGCUAGGGGGUCAUCCCGACUUACCAACCCGAUGCAAACUACGAAUACCGAAGAAUGUUAUCACGGGAGACACACGGCGGGUGCUAACGUCCGUCGUGAAGAGGGAAACAACCCAGACCGCCAGCUAAGGUCCCAAAGUCAUGGUUAAGUGGGAAACGAUGUGGGAAGGCACAGACAGCCAGGAUGUUGGCUUAGAAGCAGCCAUCAUUUAAAGAAAGCGUAAUAGCUCACUGGUCGAGUCGGCCUGCGCGGAAGAUGUAACGGGGCUAAACCAUGCACCGAAGCUGCGGCAGCGACACUAUGUGUUGUUGGGUAGGGGAGCGUUCUGUAAGCCUGCGAAGGUGUGCUGUGAGGCAUGCUGGAGGUAUCAGAAGUGCGAAUGCUGACAUAAGUAACGAUAAAGCGGGUGAAAAGCCCGCUCGCCGGAAGACCAAGGGUUCCUGUCCAACGUUAAUCGGGGCAGGGUGAGUCGACCCCUAAGGCGAGGCCGAAAGGCGUAGUCGAUGGGAAACAGGUUAAUAUUCCUGUACUUGGUGUUACUGCGAAGGGGGGACGGAGAAGGCUAUGUUAGCCGGGCGACGGUUGUCCCGGUUUAAGCAUGUAGGCUGGUUGUCCAGGCAAAUCCGGAUAAUCAAGGCUGAGGUGUGAUGACGAGGCACUACGGUGCUGAAGUAACAAAUGCCCUGCUUCCAGGAAAAGCCUCUAAGCAUCAGGUAACAUCAAAUCGUACCCCAAACCGACACAGGUGGUCAGGUAGAGAAUACCAAGGCGCUUGAGAGAACUCGGGUGAAGGAACUAGGCAAAAUGGUGCCGUAACUUCGGGAGAAGGCACGCUGGUGUGUAGGUGAAGCCCCUGCGGGUGGAGCUGAGACCAGUCGAAGAUACCAGCUGGCUGCAACUGUUUAUUAAAAACACAGCACUGUGCAAACACGAAAGUGGACGUAUACGGUGUGACGCCUGCCCGGUGCCGGAAGGUUAAUUGAUGGGGUUAUCCGUAAGGAGAAGCUCUUGAUCGAAGCCCCGGUAAACGGCGGCCGUAACUAUAACGGUCCUAAGGUAGCGAAAUUCCUUGUCGGGUAAGUUCCGACCUGCACGAAUGGCGUAAUGAUGGCCAGGCUGUCUCCACCCGAGACUCAGUGAAAUUGAACUCGCUGUGAAGAUGCAGUGUACCCGCGGCAAGACGGAAAGACCCCGUGAACCUUUACUAUAGCUUGACACUGAACAUUGAGCCUUGAUGUGUAGGAUAGGUGGGAGGCUUUGAAGCGUGGACGCCAGUCUGCGUGGAGCCAACCUUGAAAUACCACCCUUUAAUGUUUGAUGUUCUAACGUUGGCCCCUGACCGGGGUUGCGGACAGUGUCUGGUGGGUAGUUUGACUGGGGCGGUCUCCUCCCAAAGCGUAACGGAGGAGCACGAAGGUUAGCUAAUCCUGGUCGGACAUCAGGAGGUUAGUGCAAUGGCAUAAGCUAGCUUGACUGCGAGCGUGACGGCGCGAGCAGGUGCGAAAGCAGGUCAUAGUGAUCCGGUGGUUCUGAAUGGAAGGGCCAUCGCUCAACGGAUAAAAGGUACUCCGGGGAUAACAGGCUGAUACCGCCCAAGAGUUCAUAUCGACGGCGGUGUUUGGCACCUCGAUGUCGGCUCAUCACAUCCUGGGGCUGAAGUAGGUCCCAAGGGUAUGGCUGUUCGCCAUUUAAAGUGGUACGCGAGCUGGGUUUAGAACGUCGUGAGACAGUUCGGUCCCUAUCUGCCGUGGGCGCUGGAGAAUUGAGGGGGGCUGCUCCUAGUACGAGAGGACCGGAGUGGACGCAUCACUGGUGUUCGGGUUGUCAUGCCAAUGGCACUGCCCGGUAGCUAAAUGCGGAAGAGAUAAGUGCUGAAAGCAUCUAAGCACGAAACUUGCCCCGAGAUGAGUUCUCCCUGAGACUUUAAGUCUCCUGAAGGAACGUUAAAGACGAUGACGUUGAUAGGCCGGGUGUGUAAGCGCAGCGAUGCGUUGAGCUAACCGGUACUAAUGAACCGUGAGGCUUAACCUU
rnacentral:rRNA from 1 species